rnacentral:tRNA from 1 species
GGCCUCAUAGCUCAAUGGUAGAGCGCCUGUUUUGUAAUCAGGUAAUCUCAGUUCGAUUCUGAGUGGGGCCUCCA